CCGCGCUGACCGUCUGACCGACGCCAAUGCGCCAUGAUUGACGCUGCUUCCACCUCCCAAUCCUCCAUAGCCUAAUCCUGCUGCCGCAGUGCCGCUGUCCGGCCACCGCCGCCGCUUCCGCUUCGAGCUGUCCCGCGAGGCGACGAGCCGAGAGCGGUUCGCCGCCGGAGGAGCAUCGCUUCUUGCUCCGCGCUGCCCUCUCCGCAGGUGUGUCUUACUCAGGGGCUCCACCACUGACGGCGCGGUUGCCUUGAUGGGGAGUUGGUGACCGGUGGAGAGUGUUCAUCAGCCCGAGCAGGAAGAUGAGUAGAUCUGCGAGCACAUUUCAAGUCCUUUUGGUUUUAGCGACGACUGUUGCUCAGACACAAUGGGCUAGUGUAUCAGGCAUGUACUGCAAUGACUUGACACCAAACGUUGAAAGGCCCCACAGUGCCUCAAUAACCGAUUUUGGUGCUGUUGGUGAUGGCACAACUCUGAACACGAAAGCAUUUCAGAAUGCACUCUUCUACCUCAACUCAUUUGCAAACAAGGGUGGGGCACAGCUGUUUGUGCCUGCUGGAAGGUGGUUGACCGGGAGUUUUAGCCUAAUCAGCCAUCUCACUCUAUCACUGGACAAGGAUGCAGUAAUUCUUGGAUCACCAGACUCAUCUGACUGGCCAGUUAUUGAUGCUCUUCCAUCCUAUGGACGUGGUAGAGAACUACCUGGUAAAAGACAUCAAAGUUUGAUAUUUGGGUCCAAUCUUACGGAUGUGAUAAUAACUGGUGCUAACAGUACCAUUGAUGGCCAAGGUGCAAUUUGGUGGGACUGGUUUCACAACCACACUUUGAAUUAUACUAGACCACCCCUCGUUGAACUGAUGUACUCUACCAGAGUUGUUAUUUCCAAUCUAACCUUUAUAAAUUCGCCAUUUUGGAAUAUCCAUCCUGUAUAUUGCAGCCAAGUGCUUGUCCAGCAUCUCACGAUCUUAGCACCUAUAAGUUCACCAAACACUGAUGGCAUUGAUCCAGACUCAUCUACAAAUGUCUGCAUCGAAGAUUGUUACAUCAGAAAUGGCGAUGACAUCGUCGUCAUCAAGAGUGGGUGGGAUGAAUAUGGCAUUUCUUUUGCUCAUCCUAGCUCCAACAUUAGCAUCCGCAACAUCACAGGACAGACAAGGAACAGCGCUGGAAUCGCUUUUGGAAGCGAGAUGUCAGGUGGCAUAUCAGAUGUUCGAGCAGAGGGUAUCCGCAUAGUCAACUCAGUGCAUGGGAUCAGAAUCAAGACAGCCCCAGGGCGUGGAGGAUACGUGAAAAAUGUGUAUGUAGCUGAUGUGAACUUGGACAACGUUUCCAUAGCCAUCAGGAUCACGGGAAACUACGGUGAACAUCCUGAUGAGAACUACAACAGGAAUGCACUCCCCACCAUAAGCAAUAUAACUAUCAAGAAUAUCGUGGGUGUCAAUAUUGGUGUUGCGGGAAUGUUGCAAGGCAUCUCAGGGGAUAACUUCAGCAAUAUUUGCUUAUCAAAUGUUUCCCUCAGUGUCAGAUCCACGAAUCCAUGGAAUUGUUCACUUGUCGAAGGGUAUUCGAACUCUGUGUCACCUGAGAUAUGUGAGCAACUGAGAACCGGUCCUGGGCCUGGACAAGUAUGCUAUGAUGGCAAUAGCUAUCCAGCAGCAGCAGCACAACCCCAGUCACCACAGAAGUCAAGUGCUUGCCGAUUGGUGCUGAUUAUUACUGGAAAUGAAAUAAAUAUGUUUGGCUUGACGAACAAGGAAAGCAACUAGUGUCAUUAUUUUCUGUUCAAGCGUGUCCAAUGCUGGCCUAGAUUUUCCUUGUAGCAUACGGGCACUGACCUUGAAGUUAUCUACAAUCUGUCUUGAUGUCUCCGUUCAAACAAACCUGCAGGCUUGGCUGAAGUUUUCUCAUUGCAGCGAAUGAAAUAACUUCAUCCUUCAGGGGCUGCUGCGCAACUUCAUCAUCCCCAAUCCUCCGGCCGAGCCUGCAUACAUGGGGCAGCGUCUUGCAGUGGCAUCCACCAGCGAGGAUCAGCUUGAUCAGAGACCAGCCACAGCUGACGUUGAUUCUACGUGGAGUAGCUAUGGCAGCACAAUCCGCAGCAUCUCCUUUCCCCAAGGUGUUGGCUGGUCAGCUUGGCUUCACCAGUCUGGUGGCAGUGGCACAACCCCCAGCAGCUCCUUGCUGAGUUCGUGCACUGAUGGUUCCCGCCCAAGCUCCUCCGCCUCCUCUUGGGGCUCGGGCGCUGCAGGAUUCAAUGCAAUCAAGGCCAACGAGCUCAGGUUGAUUGCACGUCGGAUGGUCCGUGACGGGCAUCUGCAGGUGCUGACAAGAGAAUUUCUGGGCGGCGGAAAUGGUGUUCUUCAGGGGUGGUUCACCGAGCUGGAUGUGGAUUGGGUUCUGACGAUGACAGAAGACAUGUCAUGGCGGGCGGAACAGAUGGUGGUCCAUGACCGUGCACGGAGGUGGAUCCGUGCGUUCACCACCAUGGCACACGCCUUCCUUGCUAUUCGUUCUGAUCUCAGGCAUGCGGUGGAGGGGGCCAAUGAGCAGGAGCUGCAAUUAAGCGGAUUUGCCUCAGCCAGCAUCUCCAAGAUGAUGCUCUUUGUUGAUGCUGUAAUUGCUAACGUCGAUUGGACGCCGGAGAACCUCCCGGUGGCGCUCGAUGUGUACAUCUGCAUCUCGGACACGACAGCAUCCUCUCAUGAUCAGGCAAGCUCCACAGCGCAGCAGAUCGUCCUGUCCAUUUAUGGCGCCACCGCUCAUCAUACUAGGAGGCGGAGGCUGGCCGCCGCCAUCCACCGGGCUAUGAGAAGCCUCUCGGUGGACUACUAUGGGGACGGUGGCUCCUGCGGGGCUCCACGGGGGAGCGAGCUCCACGCCACGACGCGGUACACCAUGGAUUUUGUCCGGCUGCUCUGGAGGAACGCGGGUCUGGCCAGCUCCGUGCUAGAUGACGACGGCAGUGGCAGCGUGGUGUUGCUGGUGAGCGACGUGAUGCGGUGCUGGGAGUUCUCCCUGGUGUCGGCAUCCAUGUUGCUCCCCGACGCCACCCUUCGGUGCGUGUUCUUGCUCAACAACUAUGGUGCCAUGGCCGAGGCAUUCCCGGACUCUGGACUCCAUGACGAGAUCGGCCGGUGCAUGGAACAUUACCUCGACGCGGCCUGGGCGCCCGUGCUGUCCUGCUUGCACAGUGCCCCGGUGUGGCCGCCGUCGGCCAAGCUGGCCAAUUUCACGGCGCGGUUCUGGCGAACCUACAAUGCUCAGAAGUUGUGGCGAGUCCCGAGCCCAGCGCUCAGGGGGAGGCUGCGGAGAGCGGUCGCGGGCUUGGUCAUCUCAGCUUACGCCAUGUACUUGAAGGAGCAUCCUCUCAGGGAUAAGGACAGGGUGAGCAUCAUGGCACCUGAGGAAAUGGAAGAGAUACUGAAUGAGCUAUUUGAAGGCUGAGAGAUAUAAUUACGAUGGGCCACCUGGAAUGAAAGUUGUGCCUGUUUGCAUCAUCAUCAGUACAUACAUUAGAUUUAGACCUAUGGCUUCACCGAUUUCUCAAGAAUGCGUUUGUGUGCGUGUACAAUUUGCAGGUCCGAUCCGGCACGCCCGCUGGAAGGGUGCAGGGGUGCUGUUUUGAGUGAGUUUGCGAGUUCGUUUAGAUAGUGUACAUGUAUCUAGAUCAAGAGGCUUGAAAAGAUGUGAAAAAGUAUGUGUGUUCAAACUUAUUGUCCCUUUUUCUUAUGAAACAGGACCUACUGGAUAUAUAUAUUAAAACAAAAAAACGAGAGUUUUAUGUUA